rnacentral:rRNA from 1 species
UACGAAGGGGGCUAGCGUUGUUCGGAUUUACUGGGCGUAAAGCGCACGUAGGCGGAUCGUUAAGUCAGGGGUGAAAUCCUGGAGCUCAACUCCAGAACUGCCUUUGAUACUGGCGAUCUUGAGUCCGGAAGAGGUGAGUGGAACUCCUAGUGUAGAGGUGGAAUUCGUAGAUAUUGGGAAGAACACCGGUGGCGAAGGCGGCUCACUGGCUCGUAACUGACGCUCAGGCGCGACAGCGUGGGGAUCAAACAGG